rnacentral:rRNA from 1 species
UGGGUAGCAAACAGGAUUAGAUACCCUGGUAGUCCACGCCGUAAACGAUGUCUACUAGUCGUUGGGUCCCUUGAGGACUUAGUGACGCAGCUAACGCAAUAAGUAGACCGCCUGGGGAGUACGGCCGCAAGGUUAAAACUCAAAUGAAUUGACGGGGGCCCGCACAAGCGGUGGAGCAUGUGGUUUAAUUCGAUGCAACGCGAAGAACCUUACCUGGUCUUGACAUAUCUAGAAUCCUGCAGAGAUGCGGGAGUGCCUUCGGGAAUUAGAAUACAGGUGCUGCAUGGCUGUCGUCAGCUCGUGUCGUGAGAUGUUGGGUUAAGUCCCGCAACGAGCGCAACCCUUGUCCUUAGUUACCAGCGGGUUAAGCCGGGAACUCUAAGGAUACUGCCAGUGACAAACUGGAGGAAGGCGGGGACGACGUCAAGUCAUCAUGGCCCUUACGACCAGGGCUACACACGUGCUACAAUGGUAGGUACAGAGGGCAGCUACACAGCGAUGUGAUGCGAAUCUCAAAAAGCCUAUCGUAGUCCAGAUUGGAGUCUGCAACUCGACUCCAUGAAGUAGGAAUCGCUAGUAAUCGCGGAUCAGAAUGCCGCGGUGAAUACGUUCCCGGGCCUUGUACACACCGCCCGUCACACCAUGGGAGUUGAUUGCACCAGAAGUGGAUAGCUUAACCUUCGGGAAGGCGUUCACCACGGUGUGGUUGAUGACUGGGGUGAAGUCGUAACAAGGUAGCCGUAGGGGAACCUGCGGCUG